CUCCUUCAGUGUACAAUGCUCGAUUUUUGUUUCCCACUGAGUUGUUGUCGCUGACCAGGUCGUUGUUCAGCGGAUUAGAUGACGAUGUCGCCGGAGUUUCUACCGGCAAAUUCUCUUCCUCCCAAUAUCCGUCAUCGUAAUUUUCUCCAGAGAAUUCACUUUGGGCAAAAAUAGGCGCCCAUUCAAAGGAGUCUACCGCUUUCUCCACUACUCUGAUCACAAAUUUCUCCCCAUCCACUAAGACAUUGAUGGUUUCUUGAAUCCAGUUACUGAAAGAAGUUGCGAUGCCUAGAUUUCCAACCGCUUUUUUACUUUUCUCCGGUUGACAAUCUUCUUUUUCAAGCACCUCCCCCAUAUCCUUCCCACUUCUGAGAAAGCGUCAGAAGUCCAAGCUGAUUGUGAAUUGUUAGGGUGCUGUUUGGUACGCUGUGGGGAAUGGAAAGCAUUAAUCCGUCCCGAUCAGAAAAUGUUGUCUGUUUCUGUUAAAUCGAAAGGAAGGAGUCAUUAAGAAUUCCAUUCUUUCAAAACGUGUAUUUUUAUUUCCCGAACCAAUCAUCUAUUUAAAAUAGAUUGAUAAUCAUGUUGAAGAGUAUAGGUGGAUAGAUUUCAGUUGUAGAAGCAGUGUCGUUAAGAUGUGCAUAACAAAUCUGAGCAGGAUACCAACCAACAGGUAUGUAUUGCUUUCUUUCAUCAUAGUUGUUGUCCAUUGGUUUCCAACAGACAAAACUCCAUUUGAGUUUAUUUCUUAUUAUUUUCUUGAACAGAUUUAUUUUUACAUGCAUAUUAAGUGUUUGAUGAAACGACCGAAUGAAAUAUAUUGAAUGGUAUGCCAUAUUUAUUUGUAUGGUGUACUUUGAUUCUACUUUUACUUGUAGCGUGGUAAUUGUGCAAAGCAUCCUCAACUUUACGUUGAUCCUACUGUUAUUGGAUGUAUAUAGAACAUGUAAUAUACAAAUUAUACAAAGGAAUAAUAAUAAAAAACAAUUAAACAAAGGAAUAAAUAAGAUGGUUUCUGAUGAAGUAUGAGAUGUCAUACUCCUAACACAAGUAUAGAAUCAUUGUAAAGCUAAAACAAUUGUAUAAUGUUCACUAUGUUUUCCAUAUCAGCUCACAAGUCACAUCAUUAUCUCAUAUAUCUGCUUACAACGGCCGAAACUCAAGGCUGCUUAUAAUAAGGCCAGACAUAGUACCUUUAUAACUUAUGAGCUUCAAAUUGAUAUAAGCACAAUCAUCUCGAAUCUCAUUACUUGAGUUAAAUUUCCACACAUUGACUUCCAUCCAUCCAUCUUCCCUCUCUUUUGGAACCCGAUCAGUAUCAUUGACAUUACAUGGG